AUACGUAGGGGGCAAGCGUUAUCCGGAUUUACUGGGUGUAAAGGGAGCGUAGACGGCGAAGCAAGUCUGAAGUGAAAGGACGGGGCCCAACCCCGGAACUGCUUUGGAAACUGUUUGGCUGGAGUGCGGGAGGGGUAAGCGGAAUUCCUAGUGUAGCGGUGAAAUGCGUAGAUAUUAGGAGGAACACCGGUGGCGAAGGCGGCGUACUGGACCGUAACUGACGUUGAGGCUCGAAGGCGUGGGGAGCAAACAGGAUUAGAUACCCUGGUAGUCCACGCGGUAAACGAUGAUCACUAGGUGUCCGUGGGUAUGACCCAUGGGUGCCGCAGCCAACGCAAUAAGUGAUCCACCUGGGGAGUACGUUCGCAAGAAUGAAACUCAAAUGAAUUGACGGGG
rnacentral:rRNA from 1 species